rnacentral:rRNA from 1 species
AACGAACGCUGGCGGCAUGCCUAACACAUGCAAGUCGAACGAGACCUUCGGGUCUAGUGGCGCACGGGUGCGUAACGCGUGGGAAUCUGCCCUUGGGUUCGGAACAACAGUUAGAAAUGACUGCUAAUACCGGAUGAUGACGUAAGUCCAAAGAUUUAUCGCCCAAGGAUGAGCCCGCGUAAGAUUAGGUAGUUGGUGGGGUAAAGGCCUACCAAGCCGACGAUCUUUAGCUGGUCUGAGAGGAUGAUCAGCCACACUGGGACUGAGACACGGCCCAGACUCCUACGGGAGGCAGCAGUGGGGAAUAUUGGACAAUGGGCGAAAGCCUGACCCAGCAAUGCCGCGUGAGUGAUGAAGGCCUUAGGGUUGUAAAGCUCUUUUACCAGGGAUGAUAAUGACAGUACCUGGAGAAUAGACAAGUUUGAGGACGUUACCCCAAGAAUAAGCAC